rnacentral:ncRNA from 1 species
ACAGAGCGCCGGAUGCCGGAAAGUUGGUCAAACUUGAUCAUUUAGAGGAAGUAAAAGUCGUAACAAGGUUUCCGUAGGUGAACCUGCGGAAGGAUCAUUACCGAUCUAGUAUCAUCCAUGACCAUACACCACACAGGUUGGUGGUUUGCCGUGUGAACCGUACUUACUACUUUUAGGGGUCGGCCGGCCAGGCCGUUAAAUGGCGAAUCGGACGUGACGCCCGGCCGUCCGCCUUUAGGGUUAGGUCUAGGUCUUGUAGGUCUAGGUCUAGGUCUUCUAGGUCUAGGUCUAGGUCGCGGCCGCCUCGCCAGCCCCGCCUGCGGUUUUUUUUUCUCAACGUACGCGUCUGAUAAAGUGUCUUCUUCCGUCUGCCAGACGGAGGAGGAAAGAGAAAGCAAAAAAGCGAGAGAGACAACUUUUGACGGUGGAUCUCUUGGCUCACGCAUCGAUGAAGAACGCAGCCAGCUGCGAUAAGUAGUGUGAAUUGCAGAAUUCAGUGAAUCAUCGAAUCUUUGAACGCAAAUGGCGCUCUUGGGUUCUCCCAGGAGCAUGUCUGUCUGAGUGUCGGAUAUCAUCCAUCGCAGGCAAAUGCUUGCGGCGUUGAGGCGUCACGGCCGCCGGGAGUCGGUCGGCCGUGUCCCUUGAAAGGCAGAGAGACUCGCUGCGGCGGUUUUCCGUGGGUUACGUACGUUACGUUUCCCGCGGCGCAUCAGCGGAGGCCAAAAGCGUCGGCAGUCCUCCGCGGGAUGUAUGCCGCCUGGAUGCCGCCGCCGUCAGAGUCGCACGGGCGAAAGGUGUGUGUGUCAAGCACAUCCCUCUCUUUCUCUUGACCUCAGAU